GCCGGAGUGGUGGAACUGGCAGACGCGCCAGAUUCAAAAUCUGGUGGGCCUUCAAAGCCCGUGCGGGUUCGACUCCCGCCUCCGGCACCA
rnacentral:tRNA from 1 species